GAUGAACGCUAGCUACAGGCUUAACACAUGCAAGUCGAGGGGCAGCAUUUCAGUUUGCUUGCAAACUGGAGAUGGCGACCGGCGCACGGGUGAGUAACACGUAUCCAACCUGCCGAUAACUCGGGGAUAGCCUUUCGAAAGAAAGAUUAAUACCCGAUGGCAUAAUUAGACCGCAUGGUCUUAUUAUUAAAGAAUUUCGGUUAUCGAUGGGGAUGCGUUCCAUUAGGCAGUUGGUGAGGUAACGGCUCACCAAACCUUCGAUGGAUAGGGGUUCUGAGAGGAAGGUCCCCCACAUUGGAACUGAGACACGGUCCAAACUCCUACGGGAGGCAGCAGUGAGGAAUAUUGGUCAAUGGACGAGAGUCUGAACCAGCCAAGUAGCGUGAAGGAUGACUGCCCUAUGGGUUGUAAACUUCUUUUAUAUGGGAAUAAAGUUUUCCACGUGUGGAAUUUUGUAUGUACCAUAUGAAUAAGGAUCGGCUAACUCCGUGCCAGCAGCCGCGGUAAUACGGAGGAUCCGAGCGUUAUCCGGAUUUAUUGGGUUUAAAGGGAGCGUAGGUGGACAGUUAAGUCAGUUGUGAAAGUUUGCGGCUCAACCGUAAAAUUGCAGUUGAUACUGGCUGUCUUGAGUACAGUAGAGGUGGGCGGAAUUCGUGGUGUAGCGGUGAAAUGCUUAGAUAUCACGAAGAACUCCGAUUGCGAAGGCAGCUCACUGGACUGCAACUGACACUGAUGCUCGAAAGUGUGGGUAUCAAACAGGAUUAGAUACCCUGGUAGUCCACACAGUAAACGAUGAAUACUCGCUGUUUGCGAUAUACAGUAAGCGGCCAAGCGAAAGCAUUAAGUAUUCCACCUGGGGAGUACGCCGGCAACGGUGAAACUCAAAGGAAUUGACGGGGGCCCGCACAAGCGGAGGAACAUGUGGUUUAAUUCGAUGAUACGCGAGGAACCUUACCCGGGCUUAAAUUGCAUUUGAAUAAUCUGGAAACAGGUUAGCCGCAAGGCAAAUGUGAAGGUGCUGCAUGGUUGUCGUCAGCACGUGCCGUGAGGUGUCGGCUUAAGUGCCAUAACGAGCGCAACCCUUAUCUUUAGUUACUAACAGGUCAUGCUGAGGACUCUAGAGAGACUGCCGUCGUAAGAUGUGAGGAAGGUGGGGAUGACGUCAAAUCAGCACGGCCCUUACGUCCGGGGCUACACAUGUGUUACAAUGGGGGGUACAGAAGGCAGCUACCUGGUGACAGGAUGCUAAUCCCAAAAGCCUCUCUCAGUUCGGAUCGAAGUCUGCAACCCGACUUCGUGAAGCUGGAUUCGCUAGUAAUCGCGCAUCAGCCAUGGCGCGGUGAAUACGUUCCCGGGCCUUGUACACACCGCCCGUCAAGCCAUGAAAGCCGGGGGUACCUGAAGUACGUAACCGCAAGGAGCGUCCUAGGGUAAAACUGGU
rnacentral:rRNA from 1 species